rnacentral:lncRNA from 1 species
GCAGCCUCUUCAAUGCAGGUUUGGUCCCCUUUUUAGGUUAAAGAAGGCUUUUCAGACAGAACUGAACAAACAUGGGGGAGGCUCUUAGCCAAAGCUGGUGGAGAAGAAAAGAGGACGUGGCUCAACUCCCCAUCUCAUAUUUCUCGUACUUAUAGUGAGGCACACAUGCUUUGGCUGAAGAAGCUUCUAGACACCAUGAAGUACCAAGUCACAUUUGUUCCCAUUGUUGACUCAAAGAACGAUGGGUCCCGAUGCAAGCCUAAGGCCACCGUAAUCAUCGUCGAGCUUGCUUCUCCACCCCAGGGUCUCUAAAUAAAACCUCUUCUUUCUCGGAAAAAAAAU